AGCUUAUUGCCUAACACUUUGCGACAGAAGUGGGGUCGAUUCUAGCCAUGCAUUAUGGAAUUAUGAAAUGGAUACUAGCACUCCUAGUUCUGAUACAGGCUUGGAAGCAAUCAUAUGG